rnacentral:sRNA from 1 species
AGAGCGCGUGCGGCCGCCGAGCACAUGGGCCCGCGGGCCGGGCGCGCUCGGGGCGGGCGGGGGGCCGCGCGCAGCCUCGGGCCCCCGCGCCCCCCGCGCCCCCGGGCGCAUUUCCACGCCGAGAGCGCGUCGGCAGCCCCGGCGACCUGCACACGCACGGCGGGACCCACCUUCCA